AAUCAAGCUGCUGUGCAUGUUGCACCCAUCGAAGCUGUGUAGAAGGAGCAAGAAGGAGAAGGUGCAGCAUUUCUCUUCUCGGUGUUUCUUUAUGUGAAUAAAAUGAGGAAGGUUAUUUUACUGCUGUGCCUCUGCCACGCUGCAUCCGCAGUGACUCACUCUCUGAAGUAUUUCUACACUGCGUCUUCUGAAGUCCCAAACUUCCCAGAGUUUGUGUCUGUUGCGUUGGUUGAUAAAGUUCAGAUAGAUCACUAUGACAGUAACACCAGGAUGGUAGAACCCAAACAGGACUGGAUGAGCAACGUCACAGAGGAUGAUCCUCAGUACUGGGAGAGGGAGACUGAGAACUGUAAGGCUACCCAGCAGGUCUUCAAAUCCAACCUUGAAGUUGCAAAGCAGCGUUUCAACCAAACUGGAGAUGUCCACAUUGUCCAGUGGAUGUACGGCUGUGAAUGGGACGAUGAGACUGAUGAGGUUAUGGGUUAUAAUCAGUGGGGUUAUGAUGGAGAAGACUUCAUAUCAUUUGACCUGAAGACAGAGACAUACGUCGCUCCAAAACCACAGGCUGUCAUCACCAAACACAAGUGGGAUCAUGACAAAGCUAGGAUAGCACAGGACAAACUCUACUUCACCCAGGAGUGUCCUGAGUGGCUGAAGAAGUAUGUGAACUAUGGGAGGAGCGUUCUGCUGAGAACAGAGCUUCCCUCAGUGUCUCUCCUCCAGAAGACUCCCUCCUCUCCAGUCAGCUGCCACGCUACAGGUUUCUACCCUGACAGAGCCACACUGUUCUGGAGGAAAGAUGGAGAGGACCUUCAUGAGGACGUGGACCUCGGAGAGAUCCUCCCCAACCACGAUGGAACCUUCCAGAUGAGUGUUGACCUGAAACUUUCAUCAGUCCCAGCUGAAGACUGGAGGAGGUACGACUGUGUGUUUCAGCUCUCUGGUGUGAAGCACGACCUCGUCACCAGACUGGCCAAAGCAGUGAUCAGGACCAACAGAGAGAUUCUCAUCAUCGCUGCAGUGGUUGUUCUUGCUCUCGUCCUCAUCGCUGUGAUUGGAGUCGUCAUUUAUAAAAAGAAGAACGUCUUGUCUUUUUAUUUCAGCCAAACGCCCUCCAUCUCCUGUAAACAACGCUGAGGUCUUGGAGGAACUGAAUCCAGGAUCCUAAAUGAUGAACACACCAGCCUGCACACAGUUUAUGGAUACAUUCUGCACUGGAUCAAGGAGCGGUGCCACAUUCUCCUCCGUCAACUGGGAAUUCAUUGGUUAUUCUUCAUUCAUAUCAUAAACUGGUGGAAUCAGGGUUGGCAAUUUAUUUGUAGUUGAUUGGAAUACAAAGAAAUUAGAAAAAAAUACAAAUAUCAUCCAACAUAAAUGGAGACAUUAAAUUAUUUGGAUCAUUUAGUUAAAAACAAAAGUGUAAUUUCCUCUGAUCAAAUAUUUGUUUAAAUGUUGGUAAAUCAAAUGAGGAUGAUUAUUUUUGGAGAGAAGUAAAACAAUGAAAGCAUCACAGAACUCUUCAUACAUAAUAAAGACUAAACAAUAAAUCCACCAUAGUUACAGUUUGAUGCUUCUGCUGUUGGGGUUUUUUCUGCUUAGUGGUAACACAAACGUUAAUUUACAGAUAUAGACACCAUAGAAAUAUUUCUAUGAUAGACACACACACACAUCCACGUACACUCGGGUCUGUCAAUAUGAUGAUAUAUACCUUGAGAUAACAGAUAGUCAAUACUGCUAAUCAAUCAGCAGCAUCCAGUGAUGAUCCCCUAUGCACACACACACACACACACACGCACACACACACAUACACA